GCGAACGCUGGCGGCAUGCUUCACACAUGCCAGUCGCACUGGCAGCAAUGUCAGUGGCGGACGGGUGAGUAACGCGUAGGAACGUGUCCUGAGGUGGGGGACAACCCCGGGAAACUGGGGCUAAUACCGCAUAUGGGCUGAGGCCCAAAGCCGAGAGGUGCCUUUGGAGCGGCCUGCGUCCGAUUAGGUAGUUGGUGGGGUAAAGGCCUACCAAGCCUGCGAUCGGUAGCUGGUCUGAGAGGACGACCAGCCACACUGGGACUGAGACACGGCCCAGACUCCUACGGGAGGCAGCAGUGGGGAAUAUUGGACAAUGGGCGAAAGCCUGAUCCAGCAAUGCCGCGUGGGUGAAGAAGGUCUUCGGAUCGUAAAGCCCUUUCGACGGGGACGAUGAUGACGGUACCCGUAGAAGAAGCCCCGGCUAACUUCGUG
rnacentral:rRNA from 1 species